rnacentral:lncRNA from 1 species
CUGAUGGUGCAGAGACCCCUCUGGAGUGACGUGCCGGCUACAUCACCUAGUCACAGAAGUGAGACCAAAGGCAACCUAAACAGGUGUGACUUUCUUUUAAUAUUUAAUAUUGGCAAAGGCAUGCCAUUACUUUGUUAUGGCUUGUUACAUCACAAAACAAUUCUGGUACAACAAGGAGAGGACUACACAGACUGUAAUUACUACUACUACCAAGAGACAGGAAGCAUGGGAACAUCUCAAAUCUGGCUACCAGCAGGAGAUGUUCAUAGAUGCUUAUUCACAUCCUAAGACUAGAUACACUACUGGAGAAGAAACGGUGACUGCCAGUCCAUCCGAAGAAAGACACACAGGUACCAUGGACAAAGAUGUUCUGCAUGGAAGGUCCUGCAGGGAACAGUGGGCAUGUAUCUAAACAAUGUUGAAAUCCAGAUAACCUUACUGCUGUAGAGAAAGGCAGUCACGAAGGUCGUGAAGACUGCCCUUGCAGACUUUUUCUCCUGAUAGAUAAGAAUCUCCAGCUAAAAAACACAAGAAAAUCAAGAAGAGGGAAGACCAACGGGUGGAUACUUCAUUCCUCUGUAGAAUAGGGAGCAAAAUACCCAUGAAAGGAGUUACAGAGACAAAGUUUGGAGCUAAGACAAAAGGAUGGACUAUCCAGAGACCACCCUACCCAGGGAUCUAUCCCAUAAUCUGGAUAGCAUUUGAAAUGUAUAUAAAGAAAAUAUCUAAUAAAAAAGUUUAAAAACAACAAAAAAACAAAAAACAAACAAUAAAAACAAAACUAAAAAACAAAACAAAACAAAACAAAAAGUCUCCAGCUAAAAUGAUGAGCAAGAAUCAGCAAUAAGCCUGCCGUCUUGCUACAAGGUAACAACAAAGAGAAGUCUCGCAUGUGGUUCUCCAUAGUCAGGCAUUAAUUAAACAGACAUCUAUUGACAAAUCGGCAUAAAAUAGUCCACAUAUCUUCUGUGGUGAGGUGACAGGUUCAAGCCUUCUGCCUUUCUUAAAGACCAUCACCCAUCCCUGUACAGACUCAGCCUUAAGACUGGUAGCCAGUGUCCUAUGAUAUGGCUUUUACCAGUAGAACUGGUUACUCCAGAAUAGAAAUAUUGGACUCUGCUGGCCAGAAUGUGGACAGCAGUUAAUGAUUCCGAGAUCAAACCUCAAGUGCCGUCCCUGGAGAAAGUGUUACAGAUGAUCAGAUGUUCAACCAGAAAUGAGAUUAUUUUUCCCCCCUCUGUGGUAGUACAGUCAUGUCUCAUGUUUUAAUUCCAGUCAUUUCAUCUAAUGAGAACUCAUAUUUAAUAUUCAUCAUGCUAAUUUCUAAAGCCUCUGAUGUUGAGGGGGAUAAAGGCAGCUGGAUCACUUGUAUUAUUCAUGUGUUAAUAUGACUCUGUACUUUUAAAGCAGUUAGCCCAGUGCCUGGGAUAAAGUAAACAACACGAGCUUGUUCUGCUGAAAUGGAAAGAGUAAAGACCUCUGAAGCCAGACUGCCUGGACGUGACUUCCAGAGCAACAGAACAGAAAGCCCUAGAAUAUAUGUUUGCUCACACACAGGGUAAAAGCACAAAGCUUAGACUGGCAUGAUUUCAAAUGAAUCACAGUCCACGGAGGUCUGAACAGUCUCCACAAGGUAACAAAGACCAGAUGGGGUGAGAUGCAUUUCAACAAAAGCCACUGGAGAGAGGAGGCAAGAGUUGCCCUCCUUUCUCAAAUGUGUGGCCAUGUAGGUGGGCAGGAAAUAUGGGGUGAGAUGCAUUUCAACAAAAGCCACUGGAGAGAGGAGGCAAGAGUUGCCCUCAUUUCUCAAAUGUGUGGCCAUGUAGGUGGGCAGGAAAUAUGGGGUCUGAUGUGUUAUCAGCACUAUUUGAGUGGCAUAAUUACCUCGGAAUACCACAGUGUAGUACCCCAUCCCAAGGCUGUGCACUUUACCAGUUUGAGAUUCCCAUGCCCCCAUGCCCAACCUUAUGCUAUCAUCUUUCUAUGGAGUUUAAAAUGAGAGGUCUUGUUUACCUUCCCCAAGCCCUUGGUACUUGUUUCCUGACAACCCCCCAUUGUCCCACCUCUAUGAUGGCUGGCAUGUCUCCUCUGCCCAGUGACAGCAGCUGUGUCUAAAACCACCCAUCUGCUGUCUUCCUGGGGCUCUGCCAUAUUCUGCUUCGUGCCCACUUGCAAGUGUGUGGUGUCUCUAUUUAGAAACAUUCUGCCUACCCUGGUUAUUCUUGGCUACUUAUCAGCAUGGGAUCCAUUGGCUUUCAGUGGGACUGCAGAACUGCUCUGAUCUGAGCAUGCCAUAGUCUGUUGGCUGGACCAGUGUGGGCCAAUGUUGUGCAAAUGAGACUCAAAAGUGGAGUCUCUAACUCAUGAUGAAUUUCCCAUUGGAGUGGGCUAUGGGCUGGUGUGUGUGUGUGUGGGGGGGGGAGUCAGGACAGAGGGAAAAGCAGCCAGCAGAAUGGAAGCACAUAUGAGAUUACAAGCACAUCCAGAUGACUUUUAAAUUGACAUAAGAUCUGCACAGCAUAAAUGCUACAGUUUCAAAGUCUUUCUCUGAACAUGAGCACAAAGUGUGUUUGUGAUGCUGUGUGACUUUUUCUAGGUGUAGAGUCAUCCGUGAGCCCUAAAUAAAGCCCCAUACUCAAUCAGCCUCAAUCCAGGGCUCAGAAGCUAUCACUCCUCACCAUGAUUCUAUGAAUUUACCUAAGGUGGAUAUUUAACAUAACUGUAACUCUACAAUUUGAGAUUUCUGGGUCUGACUUCUUUAACUGAACAUCACAUCUUUAAAAAAACAAAAACAAAACCCAAAGCAAACCAACAAACAAAACACAUACCUAGGGGAUUGGAGAGAUGGCUCAGCGGUUAAGAGCACUGACUGCUUUUCUAAGGGACCUGGGUUCAAUUCCCAGCACCCACACGGCAGCUCACAAUUGUCUGUAACUCCAGUUUCAGAGGAUCUGACAUUCUCACACCAACAUAUAUGUAGGCAAAACACCGAUGCAUAUAACAUAAAAAUAAAUUAUAAAAAUAUCCAUUCCUGCUACAGUUCGCAGGAAAAGGUCAUUCCCUUUUAAUUGAUAUUAUCUCUGCAUUUUUGUUGGUACCAUACUAUGACACAUGUAUGAAUAUGCAAUGAUUGUAUCAAAGAAAUUGGCAUUUACAGCUCCUUCCUGAGAACUUCCAAACCAUCCCCCCUGAAGUUACAUUGAAAUAAAUAAUAAGCUUUUUGAGGUUAUAGUUACCCUCCUGUGCCAUGCACACUACAGCUAAGCCCCUGUCCAGUUGCAUUUUGCUACCUGCUACCCAAAUUCUAGUAUCCGUUCUGUGUAAUGACUGUAUUUCUUCGGACUGUAUAAUCACUAGCUGGAUGCUGGAUAAUACAGUGGUUCUAUUUUCAUUCCCUAAGGAGCUUCUACAUGGCCCUUGAUAACGGCUGUGCUAAUUACAUUUCCCCAACAGUGUGCCGAGGUCUUUCUCGCACGUUUUCGCCAAAAUUAUUAAUUUUUUUCGUCUUUUUUAUGGCUGUCAUUCUGGCCAUGGUGAAAUAAUAUUUCAUUAUGCUCUUGAUUUGCAUUUCCCUAAUAAUUAGUGAUGUUAGUUUUGUUCACGUACUUGUUGGCCAAGCUAACUGCCUUCUUUUAAGCAGUGGUGAGCCAGUGAGAUGGCUCAGCAGGUAAAUGGGCUUGCCACCAAGCCUGAUGCCCUGAGGUCUAGCCAUAGGCUCCAGAGGUGGAAGGGGGAGGCCAAGACCUACAAGUUGCGCACCAACGUCCAUGUAUGCAUUGUGGUGCAUUUGCCCACACACGCAUGCAUUUGCAUGCAUGAGAGGUAAUCAUUAAAAAAAAAAAAAAACAGUCUGUCCAUGACUUUUGUGUGAUUUUUAAUGAGACUUUUAGCCUGGUGAGCUGUUUGAGUUGUUCUAGGUACUAACUCUUCAUCGAGUAUGUGCUUUGCAAAUGCUUUUUCCCAUUCUAUAGUCUGUUUCGUCAAUCU